CGCCCCGGGGGGUGGUAGUAUUUUACACCGUGUGUUUGGACGCCCCACGGCCAGUGCAGUGACUGGGCCCCUAGCAGCCUCCCUAGCAGCUCCCUAGGGGAGACCCUUCCCAGAGGUGCUUUCUGGCCUCAGGCUCCACAAGCUCAGGGCGCUCCUCGGGGACCUCUGACCUCAGCCAGAGAAGCGGGGGGUUUCUGUGAUCGCUGACCCUGGAGGCAGUGGGAGAGUUGGGGGGGGGACCUGAAAAGGCCUCUGGAGGCAGGGUUGGCGGACAGUUUCCACUGAAGCCCAGUCCUGCCUGUGGAGCUGUCAAUUUCCUGAUGAAACCUGACAAGAGGUCAGUGUGGGGGUGCAAAAUUUGAAGGACAGGGCCUCUCAGACACGGGGCUGGGCACGAGCUGGACUCGAGGCUGCUGACCUCGUGGGAAACAGAGAGGGCCAGUGUCUGCUGCAAGCUGGACCCACCCCAGGCAGCGGAGGACCUGCCCCCGCUCUCAGAAGGAGCCUGCCUGUGGUUGUAAUGUUUUGCGAAUGGCUGGCACUUCCCCUGCGGUUUCUGGAGGUUGCUCAGAUCUCAAGAUACACAGAACAGCUGGCCAAUGCAAUACCUCCGGCUGAUCUAGGCAAGGACUCACAAGGCAGGCUGCCCAGCGGAGGCUCCUGGAACUCCCCUCCUAUGUCAGCUGAGGAAACACCUGCUGCUUUGACGGAUAAACCCCCGAAUCUCAGUGACGUAAUACAACAGAUGAUUAUUUCUUACCCACAGCAAGUCUAGUUUUCAACAUGGGCAGAGAAGGGGAGCUCUACAUCCUGUGUGAUCACUGGGGACCCAGGCCAAAGGAGGAAGUGUUGCCAUCUUUAACGUGAUUUAAGGUCAUCCUGGAUGUCCGCAUUCAGCCAAGCGGAGGGUAAGGGGAGAGUGUGCAGCAUGGAGCAGAGGGCGUUUAUGGGGUGAGGCCUGGAGUGCCACACAACACCUCUACCCAGAUGGGCUCCAGAAGUCUGUGGCAGGGCCCUACAUAGAUGCAACGGGAGCUGGGAAAUAAAGGCUCUGGUCUGUUGGAGCCGCCGCUGGGACAUUGGCGUUCUGAUUUGCUGAGGUCACCUCGGUGUGCUCACUGUCGCAAAAAGAGCAGCUCCGUAGGGGACCAGGACCGUGAUGUUGGGGGAGUGUAUUUCUAGAAGCUCAGAUUAGACUUUUCUCUUCCAGUUCUUCCUGUGAUUUUGUAGGCACUAAUUCCCUGUAUUAAAUCCCUUUCUGCUCAAAUUAGCCAUCUGUGGGUCUGGAACAUAUACCCAAACCCUAGCUUUUACAUUCAGUGAGAGGAAAGGUCUUGGAACUGGGAGGCCAGGGUGUGAAGGAUCACUUAUAGGCACAUGGAUGAUGUCAGAAUGUGGGGUGAGCAGGCAACCUGUGACCAAGAUGCCAAAGUCCUCAGUGAAUGAGAUGGCAAGGUUGACCAGUGGAACCUAUUUGAUCACUGCUGUAUUCCUAGUGUCUCAUACUUCGGGGUGUAUGUGUGUGUCUCUAAUAAAUGUUUUAAAAUGCA